GACCUUCUUGAUUGCAAGAGACAGAAUUCCAAUUUGACCUAGCAUAGCAAAAAGGGGAAAAUUUUUUCUAGGUAAUCAUGAUCAGCAGAGCGAGAAAUCAGGCACAGCCUUCAGACAGCUGAACCCAGAGUGUGGAAUCUCCCCAGAAUUCUCUCACUCUGUGACCCUUGUCUAUUUCUUACCCCCUCCUUCAAUAAUUUGUUAUUAAAAAUUCAAUAUACAGAAAAGUUGAAAAAUUUGUACAUAUAUAUACUACCACUUAAAUUUUACAGUAGUUAACAUUUGCUAUAAUUAAUUUAUCACAUAUCUGUCCAUCCAUUUCCGUUUAUUUUGCAUUUGGACUUCUUUUCUCAGAUUAGCCUCUGCCAUGAUGGCUUAAAUCCCCAUCUCAUAAUUUACAGUCUUAAUUCUGCAGUUCCAGUUCAAAAACUCCUAUGGCCAGACUCAGAUUCAUCUAACUUCGGUUGUACACCUGCCCCCUGGACUCACUAAAGGGAAGGUAUAGUGUAAUAGGCAGCUCCCAUAAGGACUACAUGGUGGGUAUGGAGGAGGGUCAGGAAACAGAGGCAAGCAGACAAAGCAAUAGAGAUGUGAUGAGUGCAGUGACUCGGGGAAGAGCAGGGGACUGUAGGGAUGCAAAGAGAGGCACCUAAUCCAGCUGAGGUCGUCAAGGUCAUCAAAAUGCAUCUUUUUUCUCUUUUUAACAUUUGUUUAUUUGGCUGAGCUGGGUCUUAGGUGCAGCACCUGGAAACUUUUAGUGGCAGCAUGUGGGAUCUAGUUACUUCCCUGACCAGAGAUCGAACCCAGGAUCCUUGCAUUAGGAGCAUGGAGUUUUAGCCAGUGGACCAUAAGGGAAGUCUGAAAACAUGUCUUCUUUCAAAGGAGGUGAUUCCUGAAAUGAGCCUUAAAAGACAUGGAAAGUUGAGCACUGGGAAAAGGCUAGAUGCUAAAGAGAUCAUGGAAUGCAAAGGGCAAAGUCGUGAGAGAGUUUGGGGAAGUAUAAGAAAAGAAAAAUAAAAUGACUGCACGGGUGUGUUCCAGUGUUGAAAUACUUUAUGAUGCUGGAAAAGUGAACUUGCUCUCAAAGCUAUGGUGUGCAUGUUAGUAGAUUGAAAUUGGCCAUUGUAGGAGGACUUAUACCAUUGAAAUCAGCAAUGGCUUUCUUUUUUUCUUAGACUAGUUACACAUUUUCCAGCACUGCUGAUCCCAGGCUAUUAAAAACCUGAAGAUGAUGAUUAUUAAAUCUUCUGAUGUCCUCUGGUGUAGGCUGAAGUAUUUCUAUUAUAAAAGUUUCUCCUAAAAAAAAAAAAAAGUUUCUCCUGAAGAUUCUGCUUCUGGCCUUGAAUUCUCUCCCUUUGAUGUUUUAUUCACUCAUUCACAUCAUGAGCCUGCCUACAAGGUCCUGUGCUUGUGCUGCAGAUAAGUGGGUAGUUGCUGACACCACCCAAAAAUCAUGGCCCCGGCUGUUAAAUACCCCCAGAGGCCUAGGGCCAGUGCCAUUGUUCUUGUCUGGACUUCACAGAGAAUUUUAUCAGGAACUAAAGCAGACAGAUUGCUCUCAGGAUAGAAAGAUUUCUUAGCUCGUGGGAUUUAAAAAAAUAAUAAUCCAAUAACAUUGAUGGAAUCCGAGCUGGCUCCAGGGUAUCUACCUCCUGUCUAGAUUCCACAGAUACGGAUCCUGAAUAAAAUUUCUGCAAGCCUUCCUUCUACAGAUAUCAGCAUCAGCACCUGGAGGACUAACCAGUGGAAACUGGUAGUCCAAAAAAGCAGGUGGUGUUCACUCUAAAAAAUAUCCAGCACACCAGACUCCAUCUGAGCAUCUGCUUCUGAAGAACCCAACCAGCAACAGCAAGAAUUACAGAAGCAUUAGUUCUCUUCUAUCCCAUAAUUCUGAUGUCUUCAUGUGAGCAGGACCAGCUCUAAAUGCCAUGGUUCAGCAGAGAGUUCAGUACUCUACUAGUUUGUAUGGUUAAAUCUCAGUGGGGUUAUAUUAAUUUCCUAUUGCUGCUGUGAAAAACUACCACAAACUUAGUGGCUUAUUAUAAUAAAAUAAUUAUUUUAUUUAUAUAAAAUUAUAUAUAUAAUUUACAUAUAUAAUUAUAAAAAAUAAAUAGCAGAAUUUAUUCCCUCAUAGUUCUAGAGUCUAAAAGCCCAAAAUCAUUUUAACUGGGCCAAAAUCAAGAUGUCAAUGCAGAGUCAUGCCUCCCUCCAUUCCUCGCCUCUUCUAGCUUCUGGUGGCUAUCAGAGCUUGCCUACAGCCACAUCACUCCAGUCUCUGCCUCCACAAUCAUAUUGCCUCCUCCUCAACUGCGGGUCAUCAUAUCUCCUUCUUUCUCCUUCUAAGAAGGUGUUGUGUGAUUGCAUUUAGGGCCCACCCUAAUAAUCCAAGAUAAUCUUCCUGUAACAAGGUCUUUACAUAUUUGUGCAAAGGCCAUGUUUCCACAUAAGGUAACACAGGUUUCAAAGAUUAGGACCUGAUAUCUUCAGAAGCAGAUGUUCUUGUGAGAGAUUGUAAUUGUGGAUGAUAGAAGAUGGGAUAUAGUCAGAUAUUGUUCAACUCAGCCCUGUCCAUUCAGUAAAGAGGACAGAUGACUGUAAGCCAAUGUUUCACACCCUGGUAAGGUUUCAGAUAGGAGCUGAGCUAGACUGUGUAGAUCCUGGAGGAUGACAGAA